AUGACAAUCGUCUGAGACGAACAGCGAUUCCAAUACGUACUCACAUAUUUCGUUCCAUUCUGGUUAUUAAGCUAGGUGCCUAUUUUUAUAAAUGUCAUUAAUCUCAAUACUUCCAGACUGAACUUUUGGAUCGGAGAUAUGAAGACGCGCGCUGCAUUUUCCUUGGCGGAGAUGCACAGCUCUGACACUAGACAAUAUUAUAUACACUCGAAGGGAACGCGUUUCGCCGGAAGAAUAAAUAAUUACAAAUGGUAUUCGUCAGUGAACAUUUUCAAACUGGGAAUAAUAUAUCAUAAGCAGAUUGAAAUGUGUGAACGUUUCAGUGUUUUGAAGACUAAGUUUCGUAGCAGAUUUCGAUUCCGUCACGGGUUAUAACAGUGCCGCAACAACCGCAGGGGCAGCCGGGUCAAUGCCCCUGUAGAGGGCUGCUAAUCGUUGGCUCAAGGGGUCCCGACGGCGCACAGCAUCUACUUUAAAUUUUUAAAUAAUUGCAUUGUAAUCUAAUGUUUAAAUCAAAUAAAAUAUAUUAAAUAAAAAUAUCUAUUUUUAUAAUUUAUCAUGUUAUCUAAUUUGUUGUCGAAGAACAAGGGGCCCCUAUUUAUCCAUAAUAAUACCUAUAUUUAUCUUUAAAAUUAUAUUUUUAUAGUGUUUUAUUGUUUUAUUGUUAUUGAG